CUCCAAUCUCAGACCCAAAAAAAAGGAACCCUAAAAUUUCUCUCUGUAUCUCCAAACUCACACAGAACUUGGCGCCUACUCUAAGUUCGUUAGUUUGUUGCUUAUAACAUGUGUACUUUACCCGGUCACCAUUUUCAUUCUCUCAAAACUCACUGAGCUCCAAGAAAACCAAGAAGUUCAUCUAUUUCUGCCACUUGAUGCCUCAGAGACCCCAGUUCACCUACUAGAAAUUCCAGAGGACAUAUUUCAAUAUAUAUGCCGGAAACUAUCAUUGGGUACACUCCUGCGAUGCAGGAGAUUGUCAAGGGCAUUCCUUUUGAAACUCUCUAAAAUCGACCUCGGUUUAGACACCCUGCUGCUAGUACGUAUACCAGGUAAUAGGAAUUAUGAAGGGAUAUACCCCCAUAGGGAGGCUUUCACCUCUUCGGAUUCGAGCAUAUCACUCCCUUGAAAAUUGAGGGUCAAGUUCGCUGAGAAUUGGAGCAUUUCAGCCCCAUACAAAUUGAGAGUCAAGUUCGUUCAUUUCCCACAAUCGGGUCUGUCCUGAUUUUGGAGUCAGAUAUUUCGGGUUCAUCAAGGGGCUUACUGUGUGCAAGGAGUGUAAAAUAAGUACAAUGUUUGGAACCCCCUCAUUGGAGGAUCCAUAAGCUCUCCAGCAAUCCCGAGGAAGUACACGGAUCCUCCAAUGAGGGGUUUCAAACAUUGUACUUAUUUCCACUCCUUGCACACAGUAAGCCCCUUGAUGAACCCAAAAUAUCUGACUCCAAAAUCAGGACAGACCCGAUUGUGGGCAAUGAGCGAACUUGACUCUCAAUAUGUAUGAGACUGAAAUGCUCCAAUUCUCGGCGAACUUGAUCCUCAAUUUUCACGGGAGUGAUAUGCUCGAAUUCGACAAGGUGAAGGCCUCCCCAUGGGGGUAUAUCCCUUCAUAAUUCCUGUUAUCUGGUGCAUAUACUAGUAGCAAGGUGUCUAAACUGAGGUCGGUUUUAGAGACCCUGAAAAUGAAACUGUUUCCUGGCAUCUCAACCCAAAUGGGGGAACCAGUGGGUUAAAGACUUUUCAAUUCAGUCUAUACUUCCUCCUCGGCUUGUGAAGGUGAUGACAGAAAAUCAGAUACUCAUCAUGCAUGAAGGCAACUUGAAAUCCUACUUGCCUCACUGGAAAAUCAUCCUAAAGGUUCCUCUCCAUCACAUCCAUGAAUACCUGGAGGAGUGCUCCAACCAAAUUUGGUGUCAGCACAUUCACUGAUGGAGAAUCAAAUUCCAACUGAACCGCCUGAGAUAGCCACUAUUUAAUUCCUUUGCACUGAAAAAUAAAGCAUAUGAUUUGAUGUGCUUGGGUGUUGAAUGAGUUCACUCAUGGAAAACAACAAAAAGUGAGCAAGACUGAGAACAAAGAGGCUGUUUCAGAUAUUCUAUUAGGCAUGGCCGCUGGUUUGAAGAGAGACCCUAUUGUGAUCCUCCGUAUUGAUGGAGAAGAUCUCGACAAAUUCAUCAAUGGGCCAAUUUUUGAACCAGAGAUGGUAGCCACGUAUUCUGAGAUAAAGUCAGCUGAUGGAAGUUUAACCCUCCGUGACUAUAUAGCCAAAGCUUUGGAAAAACUCACGGUUGAGCAAGGGAUGCCCCCUUCAUCAGACUCUUGGGUAAUGAGGAACAUCGUGGUUGUGAAAAAAACGAAAAAUAAAUAAAAAUCUUGGAGGUUUAUGCUGGUGCAGGGCCACCAAUAAAACGCAGAAAGCGACAUCGGAGAAAGCAUUUCCAAAACCAAGAACCAUGUCUAAUGAGAGGUGUCUAUUUCAAAAAUAUGAAGUGGCAAGCAGCUAUAAAACAAAUCCACUUGGGCACUGUUGGUUCACAAGAGGAGGCUGCUCGUUUGUAUGACAGGGCUGCUUUCAUGCGUGGGAGGGAACCAAAUUUCGAGCUUUCUGAAGAGGAGAAGCAAGAACUCAGGAAAUUCAAGCGGGAUGAAUU